rnacentral:tRNA from 1 species
UCCGGGAUCGUCCAACUGGCAGGACAGCGGCCUUUGGAGCCGUGUAUGGGGGUUCGAGUCCCUCUCCCGGAG